CGUGCGGGAGGAGGUCUAUUGAUUGUAAACCGCUUUUGAUAGGGAAGAAGAUCUGACGGUACCUAUCGAAUCAGCAUCGGCUAACUCCGUGCCAGCAGCCGCGGUAAUACGGGGGAUGCAAGCGUUAUCCGGAAUUAUUGGGCGUAAAGCGUCCGUAGGUGGUUUUAAAAGUCUGUUGUCAAAUCGCGAGGCUUAACCUCGUACAGGCAGUGGAAACUAUAAGACUAGAGUGCGGUAGGGGUAGAGGGAAUUUCCAGUGUAGCGGUGAAAUGCGUAGAUAUUGGAAAGAACACCGGUGGCGAAGGCGCUCUACUGGGCCUGCACUGACACUGAGGGACGAAAGCUAGGGGAGCGAAAGGGAUUAGAUACCCCCCGUAAACGAUGGAAACUAGGUGUU
rnacentral:rRNA from 2 species